GGGGGGGGGGGGGGGGGGGGGGGGGGGGGGCGGGGGGGGGGGGGGGGGGGGGAGGGGGCUGCUCGGACGGUGGCGGCGGGCGGGUGAGUGACGCGUGGGUAACCGACGUGUAGGGCUGGGAUAACGGCGGGAAGCCGGAGCUAAUACCGGAGAAUGUCUUGAACCGCAUGGUUCAAUAGUGAAAGACGGUUUUGCUGUCACUUAUAGCUGGAUCCGCGCCGCAUUAGCUAGUUGGUAAGGUAACGGCUUACCAAGGCAACGAUGCGUAGCCGACCUGAGAGGGUGAUCGGCCACACUGGAACUGAGACACGGUCCAGACUCCUACGGGAGGCAGCAGUAGGGAAUCUUCCGCAAUGGGCGAAAGCCUGACGGAGCAACGCCGCGUGAGUGAUGAAGGUCUUCGGAUCGUAAAACUCUGUUAUUAGGGAAGAACAAAUGUGUAAGUAACUAUGCACGUCUUGACGGUACCUAAUCAGAAAGCCACGGCUAACUACGUG
rnacentral:rRNA from 1 species